UACGUAGGUGGCAAGCGUUGUCCGGAUUUACUGGGCGUAAAGAGCGCGCAGGCGGCCGAGUAAGUCGAAUGUGAAAGCCCCCGGCUCAACUGGGGAACGUCAUUCGAUACUGUUCGGCUCGAAGAUAGGAGAGGGAAGCGGAAUUUCAGGUGUAGUGGUGAAAUGCGUAGAUAUCUGAAGGAACACCAGUGGCGAAGGCGGCUUUCUGGCCUAUUCUUGACGCUGAGGCGCGAAAGCUAGGGGAGCGAACGGG
rnacentral:rRNA from 1 species